AACAAGUGGAGCAGCGACCACUACCAAAAACGGGCGGAGCCGAAAAGCCACACGAGUAGGAAGCAA
rfam:Chitinophaga eiseniae strain DSM 22224 genome assembly, contig: Ga0070509_105